GCUCUCUCGGGAUUGCACCUGGAGAGUUUCCAGUACUCUACCAGUCUCGGCUAUAGGAGGGAGAGUCAAGCAAAGGCAUACCCAUUCCACUCCUAGCUUGGGCCAUGGCUACCAAGUGGAAGGCAAUCUGCUACAAAU